AAUCCCAUCCCAUUUUCAUGGAAUAACAGGAGGCUCUAAAUCACGUCGCCAGAGUCUCAUUGAAGUCUGGUCUGCUCUCCAGCUGGAUUGCAGAGUAAAAAAAAAAAAAAAAGGACGGGAGGAUGGGGGUGAGAUGUGGCUGCUGCACAGCUGUCCACCUACACAUCCUCCAUCUGGGGGGGGGGGGGGGGGUGGACCUCCUCGGACCCCCUGAUCCGAGGAAUGUGAAACUUCAGCAAUGUGAUGCAAGUCAGUCUUUGGAGAGGAAACUGAGGAAGUUUAGUGGCCACUCCAUUGCUGUUCGCCUGCUUAUUAUUCAAUCCUCUUCCCGCAGGAGAAUGACUUCACCACAAUUGCUAGACACAUUUUACGGAUUCCCAAGGACAGGGAGACUGUCCUGCUCGCUUAUUACAGACUCCAGGAAGAUUGGGAAUGAUCGGGAGAGCGAGGCAAACCGCUAAACAACUGUACAAACACAGACACAAGGAACCAGACAGUCCAGUCCAUCCACAGGGAGAUGGAUGCUGCUACAUCCAGGGUCGAGUCGAAGCUCACUGCUGCCACGCGUCUCCUCUCGGGAUCAAGAGGCUUUUAUGAACUGAAGACUGUAAACAUUGUGCAAUUCUAGUAUCAGCUCUGAGGAAAUGUUUUGUUACACUCAAAGCAUUCCAGUCAGCGCUUCAUAUCUUGAUAGUGGUUUGGAAAAGGCAGAGCCGUCCUGAGCAGGACAAAGCCUGUGCUGACACCACAUUAACACAGUCCAGAGCUCCUGUCAUUCUCUCGGGCUACAGAGGAGGCUGAUAAGAAGCCAGAAUGUGUGACAGGAGGAAAACACGUUACCCCUCCUGUACCCCCUGCCUCUCUCAGUCUCUCACUCCAUUUAUCCACUUCCCCAUUCCUCUGGUGAUUCUCCAUGAUAGAGAUCUUGAGAGGCUGGGAUUGGAGCUAGAAGAGAGACAACAACGUCCUGUUUCACACAUCAGAGUAAACCAAAGUGUGCAGGAUCUGGGUUCCUGCAUCCGUUUCUAUCUGCUGGGAUUCCAGUCGUGUUUUGUGGGAGAGUCUGUUUCACUUGGCUGUCGACAGAUUCAUAAACAACACCGCUGUGCGCUGUAGGGAUUUGGAUAGUGUUUCCGACAGAGACCUUCAGCCAAUGAUAAUAAUAAUCCACUGACAGGCCUAAGGUUUAGUCAUAUUAUUUUCAGAUGUGUCAAAGACUGUUAAAUGUGAGAAAACAAAGUCCGAAAAACAUGAAACCUCUCCAAACUCUCAGUCUAGACAACAAAUUCACCUGAAGCCACACACUGACCAUCAAUCUUAUGCAAACCAGAGCAGCUACAGCUCUGGCAGUGUGCUGUAUGGCUGUGUCUCUCUGCCACUCAAGAGCCCUGGCAUCACUGAAGCACACUGCGUACCCAUAAUUCACACAACACCUACGGUUCAGCCAAGCCCAUUGAGGUUAAAGCAACAGAAUAUUAAAGCAAGACGCUGGAUUUUUCUGAGAACAGCAGGAGCUUGUCGACUUUACUUGUAUGUUCCUUGGUUACGUACCCCCUUCUCACCGCAAAUCUAAUUGGUUUUGGAGCCACUACAACUUCAAAAGAGCCUCGUAAGUUAUUAGAGAAUAAAACCUUCUAUAAAUGUAGCACUCAGAAACAUAUAUCAGGGUAUUUUGCACCAUUUAACAAAACCAAAACUGGGAUUAACAGAGCUAAUGGAGCCUCAGCUUGCCAAUACAACCAAAGCAGCAACUGCAGUGACACAUAUUCCAGCUCUGUAGGAUGAAGGAUGACGACUUACAAUCAAGUGUCCACAACAAAACAGCCAUCUCCUCUCCCAUGAGACCCAGUUAUAUGAGAGAGAGAGAAAGAGACAGGCAGAGGAAGCAACCCUCAGUUGCGGUUGCAGCGCCUCGCUGUGUCCUUCCUUCCUUCCUUUCGCUGGUUGAGCCAACUCUGCAGUCUGCUCUCUGCUAUUAAUUAAACCAUUAAAACAGAUUAAUAAGCAGAGUGGGGCUGCAGUCUCGACAACAUCUGAUUGGAAUUAAGGAGGCGUGCUUUUUGGCACGAUGACCCUGAUGCCCUUCAGUGUGGUUCUUGCUCUGCUAAUUCUCCUCCUCCUGUCACUCUCUUUUUCUCUCUCUGAAUUUUAAAGACUGAUUUGAAAUAUUUAUACCUAUCUGUCGCUCAUGUCUCUCUCUUUCCGCCUUGACCGUCGGUCAUCUAAUUCAAAACUGAAAACAUGUGGGUACAGAGAGGAAGACCUUAGAGCUGGGUGUUUCUGUGGCAAACUCAGCUGUGAUUUUCUUCUUAGUCCCUCGUUCCCUCCCACCUGUCUCCUCGGCAUGAAGGGUGAGCCAUCUAGACUCAAGUCUAACAGAGCAGUAACUUAAACACAGACACACACACCCUGCAGCAGCCAGUGCAUCUGUUAGUCCUACUGCUUUCCAACAAUCACACAGACUGCUAUGUUCCUCUGUGAGUUUGCAUACUCAGGAAAAAUAAUGUAUUGGUCUUUAACUUUACAUUUAAAUGACAGAGACCACCUGCAUCAAAUUGCAACAUUACGCUGUGCAACCUGGAGAUUUAACAGGCCAAGAAUGGACAUUUAGGAGACAAAUUAACCUGUCAUUACAUAGGCCGCUGGCAAAUGUUUUAACUGUCUGUAGUGUUGGAUAGAUUUUAAGCAACACUCUCAAGCAAAACAUAAUUAAUGCACUGCCACAAAGAUCAUCUAUCAAUUCCUGCGGCGGGACCUUUCAAAGGGAAUUAAAGCCUGAAUUUGAGAGUUUCUCCCACAUAUAGAAGAGCCACUGCCUCACCACUUCUACUCAGCUAUCCAAUAUUUCUGUCUGGGGAUCAAUAAAGACUCAUUUUUUUUCUUUCUUCUCAUUUAAAAAGAGUAUUCCUAUUAUUUCUGAUUGUAGGAGUCAUCCCACCGACUGUGGAAGUGAGAAAGAGAUUUUAAUUGAAACUGUAAGGCUCUGUUGUUUUCACAUCAUUUAAAACGUUGUGGAGUUGAUUAAAUGAUAUUACCUAAAAACAUAUUUUCAGACUUUAGGGAGAUUAGGAGGAGAUUACAGGAAAGAUGAGAGGAAAGGUAAAUGUUUGCACUUUAGAAGAGGAAAAGACAAAGAGAGACAGCCCUGCUAUGUUCCAUAUUUUCACUCUCCAUCAUUCAUUCCUGUAUUUUAGCUUGUUUAGGGCUGUUGCUAUAAUUUCAUCUUGAAUUUACAGCUUAUGGACUUGUAUGAUUUUCCAAACCCCGGGAUUAAUUCCAGAUGUGUUUGCGUCACAUUAAUAUAUGCAUGGACACGCCUGUGGUUGCAUCUAACUGUUUAUAGUCACACGCAAACACAUGCAUGAGAACAACUUUUGCUGAUGCUCUUAUAUAAAAUCACAUUUAUGUGCAACAAUAAAAUAAUAAGUCCUAAAGUCCCCUAAAUUAUAAAUAACCAGUAGUAAGGAACAUAAGGGUAAAAGGCAAAGCACUCUGGCAACAGAUGAAACAGACACUUUAGCUCCUCAAAUGGAUAUGUAUGAAACAAGUGGGAGGCAAAGCAAUAAGCACCACAGAAAAAAAGGCAGUUUGUUUUAAAAUGACAGCAAUGACAGCAUUUAAAUGGAUGCAUGGGAUGUGAUUUAAAGGAGGAAAUUGAAGGUGGAGAGCAGGAUGUGGUGAGUCCAGCUGGGAAUCAGAGAGUCAGAGGUGAGGGAAGGCCACAGAGGUCUUGAACACACACAAACAUAUCACUGUCUCAGUCCUCCACCCCCCUCCACAUUAUUGGGAUUGUUGAUACCGAUCUGCCCUGUGGACAGCUUACACUGAGUGGAAAGGCUGCUCAUUUAACUUUCACCUAUAAUGAGCUCAACAGAAACCUGAGGCCAAGAGGUCCUGAGACGCUGACAGGUAAAGAAGACAAAGACAGGGGGAAGAGAAACCAUAAGGAACUCCAGCGUGUUUUAGUGCAAAAAAGUCUGUCCAAAACUCAUGUUGGUCAGUUUGUGAAAAGCAGUAAGAAACAAAAACCAGCAAAGCUAAACAUGCCACAGCCACAGCUUUUACUGGGUUUGUUGUCUGAUUAUUCAAGCACUGUUGUUUUUCAGCUGCUGUUUCCAGAGUAGAGAGAAGUGGUGGGACAUUUGCUGUUGGCGGGGAGGUCAAACCUAGCAGCACACUGUUGAGGUUUUAGUAAGAUGUCAAGUGUCAUUUUGUAUACAUACACAGAAGGGUAGCUGCUCAGGUUACAAGUGCUUUGGGUUGAUUUAUCUCUGACCUGACAGUUGUAAGGGGAAUCUGUCAGCAUCAGCGUUUGGCACAGAAUAAAUGGUAGCGAUUUACAGAUAAAAGCUCCGCUCUCUUCAUAUGCGGGCAAACUCGUGGACCUUCCAGAUAAUUUCCAAACUGUUAUGUCACUGCUUUCUGAAAGCACCUACAACUUCCAGUGAGAG